rnacentral:rRNA from 1 species
UACGAAGGGGGCUAGCGUUGCUCGGAAUUACUGGGCGUAAAGGGCGCGUAGGCGGCGCUGUUAGUCAGGCGUGAAAUUCCUGGGCUCAACCUGGGGGACUGCGCUUGAUACGGCAGUGCUUGAGGAUGGAAGAGGCUCGCGGAAUUCCCAGUGUAGAGGUGAAAUUCGUAGAUAUUGGGAAGAACACCGGUGGCGAAGGCGGCGAGCUGGUCCAUUACUGACGCUGAGGCGCGACAGCGUGGGGAGCAAACAGG